AAAAGCAUGGCUUGCACAGAAAAAGUCCUUAGCUAUACUAAUUUUCCUGUUUAAUCUUUUUUUAAAAUUUUUAUUUAAUUAGGAAGUUUUGGUUUCAUUGUUUCUAGCUUUUAAUAUGUUCUUUGACUAUCCUCAUUUAUUUGAAAACCCAACAUGUAGUACAGCCUUCUGCUUUCUUGAAGACCAUGUCCAGCAACAUUAUUUUAACGUGGUAGUGGAAAAAUGUGCUAAGAAAUGACAAAUACCAACAUGACUGUACAGACAUACCACAAGGGAUUCAUUUAGGCAAACAAGGCAGUCUGAGAACACUUGGAAAACAAAAUUUCCAGUCUGUUCCAGUCAACAGUAAAAGUUCCUGCUGUGUCCUGCAACACUGGAGAAUUGAGGUUUUUAACCCAACAUGGAUCAGAGGGGUAGCUGUAGUCCUCCCUAUCACAGUCAGCACUGCCUUGGAGGAGAAGAGUAUGCAGGAAGA
rnacentral:lncRNA from 1 species